GAUGAACGCUGGCGGCGUGCUUUACACAUGCAAGUCGAACGCUGAAGCCCUUCGGGGCGAUGAGUGGCGAACGGUGAGUAACACGUGGGUAACCUACCUCGCACAUCGGGAUAAGCCCGGGAAACUGGGUCUAAUACCGAAUAUGACUUAUCACCACAUGGUGGUAAGUGGAAAGUUCCGGCGGUGCGAGAUGGACCCGCGGCCUAUCAGCUUGUUGGUGGGGUAAU
rnacentral:rRNA from 1 species